AAGAGGUGGCGAAGCAGUAGAAAAAUUUAAAAACACGCGAUAGAAACUGUAAAGAAUGGGUUAUAAAAUCAUUGGUGUGGUCUAUGUUUUGUUGUGUUCCUUGUGCCUCUCCGAGGCUUUUGUAGGAAACCAGGUUGGAAGAAGACUGCUCAAGGAGGAACUUCAGUCCAAAAGGGAUUUUCAUAACCUGUGCCAUUCUGUGAUCGAAUUAUGUCCAGAAAGAGGAGAUCGACAUUCAACCAAAAGAAGUCUUCCAAGGAAAUUAGGAGAAAAUUAUUGAAGUGUACUUCGUAUAAAUCAUACCUUGAAUGUAUUUAAUGAUGGUCAUUAAACGAAAUUUAUUUUUCGCUAUA